CCCGCUGAACUUAAGCAUAUCAAUAAGCGGAGGAAAAGAAACUAACAAGGAUUCCCCUAGUAACUGCGAGUGAAGCGGGAAAAGCUCAAAUUUAAAAUCUGGUGGUCUUUGGCCAUCCGAGUUGUAAUUUAGAGAAGCGUCUUCCGCGCUGGACCAUGCAUAAGUCUCCUGGAAUGGAGCGUCAUAGAGGGUGAGAAUCCCGUCUUUGGCAUGGACCCCCAGGGCUUCUGUGAUGCGCUCUCAAAGAGUCGAGUUGUUUGGGAAUGCAGCUCAAAAUGGGUGGUGAACUCCAUCUAAAGCUAAAUAUUGGCGAGAGACCGAUAGCGAACAAGUACCGUGAGGGAAAGAUGAAAAGCACUUUGGAAAGAGAGUGAAACAGUACGUGAAAUUGUUGAAAGGGAAACGCUUAAAGUCAGUCGCGUCGACCGAGACUCAGCCUCGCCUCGGCUUGGUGUACUUCUCGGCCGACGGGUCAGCAUCAAUUUUGAUCCUUGGAUAAUGGCAAGAGAAAGGUAGCACCUUUACAGGUGUGUUAUAGUCCUCUGUCGCAUGCAAGGGUCGGGAUUGAGGAACUCAGCACGCACCUCGUCGGUGUCGGGGCCUUUUGGCCUACGUUACGUGCUUAGGAUGUUGGCGUAAUGGCUUUAAACGACCCGUCUUGAAACACGG
rnacentral:rRNA from 1 species